rnacentral:misc_RNA from 1 species
UUAAUGUUUGUAUUGAUUCAGACACAGGCUAUUCGGCAUAAAUACGGCGCCGAAGCGCCGAAGCACGUUGUUUGCUUCCACAGGUUUGAAGGGUAGAAGGUCAAAAGACCAUUCAAUAAUGAUCCCUCCGCAGGUUCACCUACGGAGA